rnacentral:snRNA from 1 species
AUACCUUUCUCGGCCUUUUGGCUCAGAUCAAGUGUAGUAUCUGUUCUUAUCAGUUUAAUAUCUGAUACGUGGGCCAUCGGCCCACAUGAUAUUAAAUUAUUUUUUCUUGGGGGAAGGCCCAUCUCAGUAGCUUGCUACUGGGGCCUUCAUGCAUCGCCCAUGCGUUGCACUACUGUACGGGCCCGGCGCACCCCUA